AAACAAAAGUGAAAGAGAUACAAAAGGCAGAAGAAAUGCCGCUGGAGGAAAAAAUAAGAGUGCCCCGGAGGACGAAGUACAAGUCAUCCGGAGAGGAUACUUUGUAUCCAUUAAAAGAAUUAGAAGCCUUAGAACUGGCUGGCAGUGACUCUGAGCAAGAGUUGUCAGAGUCGGAGGAGAAGGAAUUAGAGGAAGAGGCAGCCAUAUAUGAGGAAGAAAGAUAUGGGCCUAGGUGGAGAGCCACUGUGAAGAAACCUAAAGUUAUGGAUCCUUUGUGGGCAAGGCUGGUAAUUUUGUUUCUUUUUUUCUUUGUGUGGGAUAGAGAAGCCACAGACGGCAAGCUUAAGCCCGGACCAAAACCUCUUUGGCAAAUGGUCCCUGCCUGCUUAGAGGAUAAACAAUGUGAGGAAGCCGUUAGAGCCGUUAGGACAGGUCAGAGGGUCCUUGCAGAGCAACAAAGUAUGUCAGAGGGAGAAAAGGUCUCCAAAGAAAAAAAGAAAAGAAAAGGAGAUAAAAGGAACAGAGAGAAGGCAGAGAUAAAAAAAAAGAGGAUAAUCAGGACCAGGAAACAAAUAAGAUAUAUUCUUUAAAAGCCUUGGCCUUAGAAAUGUCAGACAAUCUAGAAAGCAUCACCGACAGCUUAGAGAAAGUGAAACUAAAGGUAGAACCAUCGGGUCCCGGGCCUCCCGCAGAGCAACAAAAGGAAGCGCAGGACUCGACCUCAGUUCGACCACCAGACUCGUAUUGACCCCUCGAAUGGGAACUCAGGUGGUGGAUACAGAUUUUAAAGGCCCCAAAUCAAGAAAAUCCAAUUUGGGUACCUGAGCGUUUGACUCAAAGAUUGUCUUCUGCUCUUCCUGAAGAUGAGACUACGAACCCUACUAUUACUACUGGGAAUGGUAAUACAGGUUAAUUCGCUCACUCUGUGGGCUAUUGUCAGAUCCUGGCCAGUACCCAUGCCAGUUCAUAGCAAUUCUACUGUUUUGAGAAUAAGACUGGCAAGCAUAAUCUCUGGCCUUGGUUCCAAUGGAUGCUGUCCAAUGAGCAAGGGGCAUAUACAUCCCUGACCCCCUUUGCUAGGUUGAUGGGUGAGAACUUCGUGCUGUAUAAUGUUUCAGCUACCAGAAAAAAUGAUACCAGGUUGAUCAAUAUUCAAUAUAAUAACCUCUUGGUAAAUAAUACUGCCACUAGUACUUCAGUAUGUGCUAGAUCACCUUUUUUCUGAUAAGCACUAAUGUAAGCAGUGGUGCUUUAAAUUGUAAUAGCUCUGAUGUAGUCUGCUAUUUAGCUGAAUGCUGGGAUGGCACCAAUGACACCACAGUGAUGGUUAAGAUUCCCUCCUUUGUGCCAAUCCCAGUGGAGGCAAACCCAGAUAGCUUUCCUAUUCUUAAUUUGCUGAGAGCCAAAAGAGAUUUUGGAAUUACGUCGGCCAUAAUUUCAGCCAUUGUGCUGUCUGCUGCCGCAGCUACCACAGCUGAAAUCGCUAUGACCAAUCAAAUACAGACGGCUGAGACUGUCAAUAAGAUUGUAGAAAGAACUGCAGUGGUGCUAGAGAUACAAGAAGAAUUUAAUACCCAUUUGGCAUCUGGCCUUCUAUUAGCCAAUCAAAGGAUAGAUUUAGUUCAAGAACAAAUUGAAGCACUGUAUCAUAUGACACAGCUGUCUUGUGUUUCCUCCCUUAGAGGUUUAUGCAUUAUUCCUUUGUGAGCUAACUUUUCUCAGAAUUUUCAACAGAG
rnacentral:lncRNA from 1 species